AAGGGUGGCGUAGGCGGGUAGGUAAGUCAGUGGUGAAAUCCUGGAGCUCAACUCCAGAACUGCCAUUGAUACUAUCUAUCUUGAAUAUUGUGGAGGUAAGCGGAAUAUGUCAUGUAGCGGUGAAAUGCUUAGAUAUGACAUAGAACACCCAUUGCGAAGGCAGCUUACUACGCAUAUAUUGACGCUGAGGCACGAAAGCGUGGGGAUCAAACAGGAUUAGAUACCCUUGU
rnacentral:rRNA from 1 species